rnacentral:rRNA from 1 species
AGAAUGAACGUUGGCGGCGUGGAUUAGGCAUGCAAGUCGAACGGGUUUGGUAGCAAUACCAGGCCAGUGGCGUAAGGGUGAGUAAGGCGACGGCAACCAACCCCAUGGUUGGGCAUAGCCGCGGGAAACUGCGGGUAAUUCCCAGCGAUGUUCGUACCGGGCAUCCGGUGUGAACCAAAGUUCUGGCGCCGUGGGACGGGCCGUCGUGGUAUUAGGUAGUUGGCGGGGUAAUGGCCCACCAAGCCUCUGAUGCCUACCGGGCGUGCGAGCGUGGCCCGGCACACUGGGACUGAGACACUGCCCAGACUCCUACGGGAGGCUGCAGUCGAGAAUCUUCGGCAAUGGGCGCAAGCCUGACCGAGCGACGCCGCGUGGAGGAUGAAGGCCUUGGUGUAACUCUGUCGAGGGGAGAGGGUACCUGACCUAUCCCUGGAGGAAGCGACGGGCUAAGUUCGUGCCAGCAGCCGC